UAGAUGGAGGCCUGCUGGUUAAGGCGCUUGGCUGUUAACUAAGUAUUUGUAGGAUCAAGGCCUGCCCGUCUAG
rnacentral:tRNA from 1 species